rnacentral:rRNA from 1 species
AGGACGAACGCUUGCGACGUGCCUAAGAAAUGCAAGUCGAACGGGGUCAUCCUUCGGGGUGGCCUAGUGGCGAACGGUCGCGUAACACGUGGGCAACCUGCCCUGAAGCGGGGGACAACACACCGAAAGGUGUGCUAAUACCGCAUGUGAAUCGUGGUGGCAUCACCGAGGAUUCAAAGCCGCAAGGCACUUCAGGAUGGGCCCGCGGCCUAUCAGCUAGUUGGUGAGGUAACGGCCCACCAAGGCUUCGACGGGUAGCUGGUCUGAGAGGACGAUCAGCCGGAUUGGGACUGAGAUACGGCCCAGACUCCUACGGGGGGCAGCAAUUAGGAAUCUUGCGCAAUGGGCGAAAGCCUGACGCAGCGACGUCGCGUGAAGGAUGAAAUCUUUCGGGAUGUAAACUUCUUUUUCGGGAAGAACAAUGACGGUACCGAAGAAUAAGCCCGGCUAACUACGUGCCAGCAGCCGC